AUCCCUUUGUAGUUCAUAAGUGUGAUGAGUGGUUUUCACGCUCAUGUGUGAGAUGUUCCUCCCUCAAACCUAUGAUGACAUUGUCACAUUACCAGUCUGAUG
rfam:Pongo abelii chromosome 1.